rnacentral:rRNA from 1 species
UACAGAGGGGGCAAGCGUUAUUCGGAAUUAUUGGGCGUAAAGGGCGCGUAGGCGGCCUGGCAAGUGGAAGGUGAAAUCCCUCGGCUUAACCGAGGAACUGCCCUCCAAACUGUUUGGCUUGAGUCCGGGAGAGGUGAGUGGAAUUCCCAGUGUAGCGGUGAAAUGCGUAGAUAUUGGGAGGAACACCAGUGGCGAAGGCGGCUCACUGGACCGGAACUGACGCUGAUGCGCGAAAGCGUGGGGAGCAAACGGG